UGACGUUGGGAAAAUGUACAAUACAAAAGGCUCAUCAUAAUUUUAUCACGUAUUGGUGAGUUGCCUAGGUCUGAUUUCUCCCGCCAAACAAUUCCAAUUUGGGGUUUUCUUUCUUUCUCCGGUUAAAUUUCAACAGUUAGUUACAGUUAGUUAUAGAAGAUUGUCACAAUAGUUUCGUCAAACAAUCCCAAAUUAAGGGUUUCGUUCUUUCUCUGCUUAUUUUCAACCGUCAGAUAUGGAAGACGCUUCUCCUCCGUGGACGACCGUGGCUCCGGCGACCUCACUCAUGUCGGAGGUAAUCGGCCAUAACGGUUCAACCUAUUCUGAAUAGACUCUGAGUCUGCUGGACUGAAGGAAUUGUUACAGGUGAUGUGGAAAUGUUUGUCAAGAUAACAGUCCGGGGUCAUGCCGAAUGGGUAUGGGAUGCUUACAUUCCCACAGCGAUCAGCGCAGCCGGGUUUGGCUAUGGGUGCAUUCGCUGGCAAAGCAGUUGGUGCUGAGGAGAAUAUCAACAGCACAAGGGAGAGAAUUUGCACAGGCAUCACAGGCAAACACAUUGCACUCUAGUGGAAGACCAAGUCCACUGCAGUGUGAUAUACGAAAGAGAUAUAAAUGUGUCUGCGCUAAUUUUGGCUGAGGUUCGUUGGAAUAGUUGGUCUUUCUUUUUCCGUGGGUCAAUGUUGUCUGAGUCACUGACAAAGAUAGUAACAUCCUUGACGUGCGGUGUCGGUUAGUGUUAACUUCAUAGAACGAACCAUUCGGUGCAAGUCUAUCAAAUCUUGUGAACAUAAAGAAAAUCUCUCUUGCAAUAUCUUGACUUUGGUUUAGUGAUAUUGUUGUAUAUUUGUAUGGUCGCUCAUUAGCUUAUUUAUUUUUAGUCCAUGUAGUAAUAAUGUUUAUUGCCAAACACCAGUUUUUUUUUUAAGUAAUUCUGUAAAUCAAGUGUUGAUCGCAUAAAGAAAGCGUGUAAAAGGGACAAGGGGUUUGUGAAGUCGUAGCCAAAUUUUGUUUGGGCCU